CAGCCGCCGCGGGAAUACAGAGGGUGCAAGCGUUAAUCGGAAUUACUGGGCGUAAAGCGCGCGUAGGUGGUUUGUUAAGUUGGAUGUGAAAUCCCCGGGCUCAACCUGGGAACUGCAUCCAAAACUGGCAAGCUAGAGUAUGGUAGAGGGUGGUGGAAUUUCCUGUGUAGCGGUGAAAUGCGUAGAUAUAGGAAGGAACACCAGUGGCGAAGGCGACCACCUGGACUGAUACUGACACUGAGGUGCGAAAGCGUGGGGAGCAAACAGGAUUAGAGACCCGCGUAGUCCCUGUCUCUUAUAC
rnacentral:rRNA from 1 species